rnacentral:rRNA from 1 species
GGGUUGUGAGGUUAAGCGACUAAGCGUACACGGUGGAUGCCCUGGCAGUCAGAGGCGAUGAAGGGCGUGCUAAUCUGCGAUAAGCGCCGGUAAGGUGAUAUGAACCGUUAUAACCGGCGAUACCCGAAUGGGGAAACCCAGUGUGACUCGUCACACUAUCAUUAACUGAAUCCAUAGGUUAAUGAGGCGAACCGGGGGAACUGAAACAUCUAAGUACCCCGAGGAAAAGAAAUCAACCGAGAUUCCCCCAGUAGCGGCGAGCGAACGGGGAGGAGCCCAGAGCCUGAAUCAGCAUAUGUGUUAGUGGAAGCGUCUGGAAAGGCGCGCGAUACAGGGUGACAGCCCCGUACACAAAAGCGCAUGUGCUGUGAGCUCGAUGAGUAGGGCGGGACACGUGGUAUCCUGUCUGAAUAUGGGGGGA